GACGAACGCUGGCGGCGUGCCUAAUACAUGCAAGUCGAACGCACAGUUUAUACCGUAGCUUGCUACACCAUAGACUGUGAGUUGCGAACGGGUGAGUAACGCGUAGGUAACCUGCCUGGUAGCGGGGGAUAACUAUUGGAAACGAUAGCUAAUACCGCAUAAUAUUAAUUAUUGCAUGAUAAUUAAUUGAAAGGUGCAAUUGCACCACUACCAGAUGGACCUGCGUUGUAUUAGCUAGUAGGUGAGGUAACGGCUCACCUAGGCGACGAUACAUAGCCGACCUGAGAGGGUGAUCGGCCACACUGGGACUGAGACACGGCCCAGACUCCUACGGGAGGCAGCAGUAGGGAAUCUUCGGCAAUGGACGAAAGUCUGACCGAGCAACGCCGCGUGAGUGAAGAAGGGUUUCGGAUCGUAAAGCUCUGUUGUAAGAGAAGAACGGGUGUGAGAGUGGAAAGUUCACACUGUGACGGUAUCUUACCAGAAAGGGGCGGCUAACUACGUG
rnacentral:rRNA from 1 species